rnacentral:lncRNA from 1 species
GAAGAGCUCUUCUGAAGUUGUAAAGAACAGUCACUGCUGUUAAGCAGUGAAGAGGACUUAAGUAAAAACUAAGCAUCGACGCUAUGCACUGAGGAGCACUAGGAGGAGGAGGAAUCAUAAAAGAGUCACCAUGCCUUCUGUCUUCUCAAGAAACCUCAGUCGUUCCUGUGACUCCAUUCUGUUAGCCACACAAUGGCAUCCAGAGCUAAGUGACAAGAUGCAGUUUCCUCAGAAAGCCAAGAGGAAAAAAAUGAAAUGGCCUUUUUCAAACUCAUCAUCUUCCAGAGCCCCGCUGCACCUUUGUUUUGCUUUUAACAACCACUGUAUGUCCAGGAAGAAGCAACUAUAUGUAGACAAAGAUUCUUCUUGAUACAGUUGGUAUCAAACGUGGGAAAUGCAUUUAAAAUAUGACCUAGAAAUCGUGCUCAAGGAUUCAUACCUCAUAUCAUUUCAACGAAAGUGUUAAAAUCUGAACCACAAGGCAGAGCUGUCUGGAGAGAUAAUUGUGAUGGUCAACAUGGAUUAUCAGCUUAACCAAACUUUGGAUACACCUAUGUUGAAGUAUCAAGAUUAGACUAACGAAAUAAUGCAAGACUCAUGUUCACACCAAAACAGUGAACAGGAUGGAAAAAGCUGAAGACAUCGAAGUUCUUGAUGUGUCUCCCAACCUCAACAGAGACUACAGUGAUCGAGAGCAAUACACCGGACUACUGGAAACUCAGCAAUCUAGUAAGACACAGGGACUGAUGGGGACUUCCAUCAAACCCACACAAUCUGCCAUUUUUUAAAGCUUUCCCAUCUUCCUCAUAUCUUUUCUCCAUCUUUUCUAUGGUAUAAAUGGUAUCUUGCUAUAGCUGACAAACUACAGCUAACAUUCAGAGAUAUUCAGCUUAGAGGAAAUAUGCCUGUCUGCUUCCCUCCCUUCUAUCCCCACCCCUGCCUGGGCUGUUGCUUAAGAACCUUUGACACUUCCCAUACCUAGUCUGGCUUCUCCCUUUUGCCAGAGAGUUCUCCAUAGGGACCACACUGCUUAAACAGCACUGGAUGAGUGACUUACUACUUCUGAGAAAGGCUUACUCUGCUGCCAGAUUGUGAGGUCUAGUUCUUGAAAGAGAAUGUGCUAGCUUUAUUUCUGCUCUCUAGAGCAGUGGAGUGUAUCAGUUCUCUCUACAUUUGAAUUUCUCUAAAGAGCAACCAAUUUGUGUGUUCUUCUCUAGCAGAGCCAUGCUUAGUUGAAUGCUUCACUGUAUCCUACUUGUCCCUCCUUCCAGGCAUAUUUUAUCUUCAUUCUUUCUCUCUAAGUGUGCCCUCUCACCACCAAUGAAAUAAGGCUCAAGUUACAAUAUUGUACCCCUUCUUUCCAUCAUCCUCAGUGAUAAAAAGUACCUCCCGCCCCCUGCACCCCACAAAUCCUCCAAGGAACAUACUGUGGGGUUGCUCACUCCACAAUUUGCUAAUCUUCUGAGGAUCACUCCUGGAGGUCACGCACUGUCACUCAUUCUAUAGUUGCUGUGACAGACAAGCACACCCUCCGCCCCUGUCUAUCUUGCAGCCCCAGUCUCCACAGUAGGACAGUGGCAGCCCUGACUGUGGUCUUACCCUCUUAGAGUCAACCCAGGAUAGCGUGUGCUUUUCCAGAAUCUCACUGUGAACGACAAACCCUUGGACUUGUAAACAUUAAGCACUCUCAAGCAUGCCCCCUGCCUCAUGUUCCUGCUAGACCUUACACCAACAUGGAUGUGCAGUUAUUCUGUCUUGCCACAAACCUCCUGGAAUAUCAGUUAUACUAUUUGACUUUUCAAAUUUUCAUCAAAUGAAAAAUCACAUAGAUUUGCUUUCUGUAUAUAAAGACAUGAGCAUUUUCCACCAACUAAUAUAACACAUCUAGCCUGUGACCCACAUAGGCAAUUUCUUCUUAAUAUUUAUAGUAGGCUCUGUGGCUUUCUUGCAAGAACAAAAACACAAGAAAAUAAACAAUAGUGUCAGAAACUCAGCAAGGAACCUCACAUAUACUACAUGUGCAUAGCUUGCUGUUUAUUUUUGUAUUCUCUUCAAAUAAGCAUUGUGAGAUAAUUUCUGAAGUAAAACAAACAUUGCAGAGCAGUUCUUCAUGGAAAUGCUUUUCUUUAUAACAUUAAAGCUUAAUGUAAUAUUCUCAGCUUUGGUUUCUUAGUGAAAAGUAUCUAAGUCUAUACUAAAAAUAUCAAAUUAUGGGAAGAAUGAAUUUUGAUACAGAAUGAAAUGAGAAUUCAUUAUCUCUAAUUCUCUCAAUAAAAUGUCUUUCUGUUCAAAAUUAUAUCUUGUACUAAGAAGACAUCUCUUUUCUAACAGCAAAUGUUCACCCUAUGAAGAAAAACAGAUAAUACCCACUGAAAUUUUUAAUAAUUAUUAUUUAUAGUUAUUUGCAAUUAUCUGAAAUUAAGUAAGCCUGCCCUAUGUGGCAAUCUCUGUGUUGCAUAUCUUACUUAUAGUGAUAUAUUAAAAAGGUAGCUCUUAGUGUAAAAAGAUAAAGGCAAUAUAAUAGUAUUUACUCUUAAGUCAUACAACAGAGUUAAAAAACAUCUUUUCCAGUUUUGUCAAUUAAACUAGAAAAGAAAGAGUUAAAGAAAAGUCAAAGUCUUGCAGUGUGUCCAAAAUUUGCCAAUAUUUUAGUAAAAACUAAGGCAAAACUGUUUUUUCCGAAAACAUGUCAAUGAAAUGAAGUGGAUUAAUGGUGUUGAAUAACUCAGUAGCUAUUGAAUUGCCUCAGAGUUAAGAAUAAUCAUACUUAAUUGUCAUACUACUUCCUAAUAUUUCAAUUGAUCAUCCAUUGGGCUCCAAUAUGAAGAAGCCAAGAAGGAAUGGAUAGCCUAGAAGUGGCAUGAAAUUGACUGCAGUUAUUUCUCUGGUGACUCAGAUGGACAGUUGAUGGAGCAGACCUUAUGGCCUAUUGGAGAUUCGAUAUAAAGCCUCGUGAGUCUUCUCUACAUAGUUCUUUCUACUGAGGGAAUUUCAUGCAGUUAAGGCCUUCAGAGUCAGAGUCAUGUGAGAUUGAAGAACUUAUGCAAAUUUGUCUAUGGCCAGACUUCAUCCAGGAGCCAAACUUCUUAUGAUUUAGUUGAUAUUUAUCUCUGGAAAUGCUGGGACAUUUCAAAGUUAAUCAGAAAUUUAACGAGCAGUUUUUCAUGCUCCCCACUCUCAGCAUGGCCAUCCAUAGAUUCCCCUUUAGAGGACAGUAACCACCACUCCCCAUAGACACAUAACAAUUACCAAGUUAUUCACAGUUUAACCUUUAAGCCAUUCUUAGGUCCUCUGCCAUCCAUGCUAAACUCAGAUUACUUUCCUCCAAUUGGGCUCAGCCUCUGAACUCAUCUCUCCUUCAGGCCUGCUCCCUCUACCUCAAAACCAUAGAUACAUUUCUGAAAUGUGCUCUGAACCCAUCACCAACCACUGGAAUUCAAUCUGAUCAUUUUACUAUCCACAUCUGUCAUCCACACCCAUGAAACACCCUGAUCCCAGCUAGGACAGAAACAUAAUCUUAAAUGGCCCAGUCUUUUCAUAGUGCCACAGCUCGACACCUAAUGCCUUCUAUGUCCUUAUCCUUCAAAUUCUUGAUCUGAUUCACAUUUUCUUUUCCCCAAAGCCUUAACUUAAAGACGCCAUUGGUAUUUAGCGAGGAUUUCCUCUGCUCAUUCUGCAUUCUACCUCACUCAGAUUUAAAUGUCUCAUCUGCACUUAGGUAGUAUCUUAAGUCUCCAACUAUAGCAUUUUCUGCAAAUGAGAUUUUGUUAUUGACUUAUUGGUUUGUUACUCAAAUUACUUCCUGGAAUGGAAAGACUACAUCCCAUUCAACUCAGUAUCCUUAUUGCUCAGUGACACUCAAUAGCUGUUGAAUGUAUUUACUCAUAAAUAUCCAUGAGACAUUCUUGUAAUUUGUGACAAUCCACAGGUGUAAUUGAGCUUUAAAGACAAAUUAAAUCUAGUGCUUCAUACUGAAUUGCCCCUCUUUCACAAGCCACCCAAGGAAGUGAGUUAUUUAAUGCUCACAAACUCGAUAAAAUAGAUAUUAUUAUAUAUAACAGAUUGCAAAUCUUAGGUACUGCGUGGCUUGAUGUAUGUCAACAGCUUUGAGUAUAAUAAAUUUUCAAUAAAAACGUGUGGCUAUUAGUUUCAGUUUCUAUUAAAUCUC